GACGAACGCUGGCGGCGUGCUUAACACAUGCAAGUCGAACGGUAAGGCCCUUCGGGGUACACGAGUGGCGAACGGGUGAGUAACACGUGGGUGAUCUGCCCUGCACUUCGGGAUAAGCCUGGGAAACUGGGUCUAAUACCGGAUAGGACUCCUGGCUUCAUGGUUGGGGGUGGAAAGCUUUUGCGGUGUGGGAUGGGCCCGCGGGCUAUCGGCUUGUUGGUGGGGCAAUUGCCUAGCAAGGAGACGACGGGUAGCCGGCCUGAGAGGGUGACCGGUCACACUGGGACUGAGAUACUGCCCAGACUCCUACGGGAGGCAGCAGUGGGGAAUAUUGCACGAUGGGCGCAAGCCUGAUGCAGCGACGCCGCGUGAGGGAUGACGGCCUUCGGGUUGUAAACCUCUUUCAGCACCGACGAAGCGCAAGUGACGGUAGGUGCAGAAGAAGGACCGGCCAACUACGUGCCAGCCGCCGCCGUAA
rnacentral:rRNA from 1 species